rnacentral:lncRNA from 1 species
AAAGGCAACAAAAAAUCCUUUUUUCUUUCUCCUCCCUCUUUUCUUCAUACCUUUCUCCUUCCUCUUUUCUUCAUACCUUUCUCCUUCUUCCUCCAUGGAAAAUCGGCUACAUCACUCAAAUCUUUUGUGUUAUUCACUUCAAAUGCAGCUUCAAUCGCUAAAAUUCAUCUUCAAUCACUGAAAUUCGCUUCAUUCAUUCAAAUCCCUCCAAAUACAUAUUUUCGUUCAAAUCCCUAAAUUCAACUUCAUUUUUUCACUCACUCACUUUCUCUGUUAACGUAUCUCUGUAUGAACGUUUUUCUCUCUUUCUUAGUUAUUAUUCUCACUCACUCACUCAUUAUCUUUAUCUUAGUUCAUAUAUAUAUCUAUGCAUGUAUUGAUGUUUUGCUUCUUGUGAUUUUGAAUUUCAGAACCUUAACUUCAACGGAGAAUAUGAACUCGUGCUUCGCUUAAUUUAGCGUUAUUCAGGUUAGCGUUUUCACAAUAUAUAUGACAAUAUAUAUGCUCAUC